UUUGAAUGUAAAUUUUGUUAGAAAAUUUGCCAUCUCAAAUGUUGUGGAUGUAGUUCAUAUGAGCAUGAAUUUUGGAGCUAAAAUUUGGUGCCAUGUUUUUGGGGAAAUUCGGCCAAAUCUAAAGGGUGGUUUUUUGGGUUCUUGUUUGUCUUGUUAAAAGUGUUUUAAGGUGACUUUUGGAACCCCUAAGUACCUUAGGAUGUUAACCCCCUUUUGAGUAGUGAAAUUUUGAAUUUUAUUGAGUGAAAACAUUCAUGGAGCUCUUAUGAGUUUUCAUGUCUGUUCUUCAAUGUUCUUGAUGUUCUUACCAAGAACAAAAAGUUUUGGUGUUUUGAUUCAAUAUGUUUGUUGCUUUGAAUAAAGUUUUGGUUUAUUAUUGAUUGGUAAUAGAUGAUUGGUGAUGGAUGAUUUAUGCCUUUAUUGUUUGACAAAACAUUUUUCUUACAACCCAUCCCAAUCAACUUUUCCUCACCUACCUAUCCACUUGCACAAAACCUUUUCCUCACCUACCUAUUCACCAAAACCUUUUCCCCCCUCCUUUUUCACUCUCACCAACCAGCCACCCUAUUAAAAUAGGGUACUUUUGGGGUUUUUAUGCAAUUACAUAAAGUUUUGAUACUUUUGUGUAUUUGUACUUUAACCCGAAAGUUUACGUUUUUACGUAAAGGCCCAAUAACACUAAAGGACAAAUUGUUUUGCUCCUUUAAUGAAGUUUUUGUAUUUGAUGAAAUUUUUGGGUUCUAGUUGUAAUUACAUGAAGUAGUGGACUUUUGUGUUCUUACAAAGUAAAUUCAAAAGUUUGUGUUAUGCAACAUAGGCCAAAAAGUUGUGGUUAUUGCAUUUGGCCCAAAUUAGUUGAGAACAAAAUAGUUUUGUAUCUUUAAAUGAGAAUUGGAUUUUCAUUUCAUUUAGCUCCAUUUAAAUCAAUUCUAUGGAAACAAAAACCAAAUGAAAAUGUUGCAUUCAAGUUUAAUUAGUUAAAGCGUUAAUUAAUUAAAGAAAGGGUGAUUAUGAACCUAAGCCUACGAUAAUUGAGCUAUGUGAAAGACCGUCUCAAAUUUGUUUGAACCUGAUAGGAGCAUAUUUAUGCGACUUAGUUAACUUGUUCUUGUGCAUUUGUGUUGUUAUUUCUUAGUUAAUUAUGUAUUUUAAGCUAUUUUCGUGUGUUUGUAGGUCAUAAUAACAAAGUUGGCAAGAAAGUGCAUUUUGGAGCAUUUUGGAGCAUUUUUGAGCCAAGAUUGGAUAGUGCAAGCAUGGAGACAUGAGGAUGGACGUUUUUGAAGAUUUGAAGGCUAGAAAUCAGCAUGUGCGUGUGCAACUGUGUUGACCUACAACUCCAAACAUCCAUUCACUACACCCAUUACAUCCACUCAUUACCAAACAUCCACCCACUACACCCAUUAUAUCCACUCAUUACCACAACACUCACCCACUACACCCAUUACAUCCACUCAUUACCAAACACUCAUCCACUACACCCAUUACAUCUACUCAUUACCAAACAUCCACCCACUACACCCAUUACAU
rnacentral:lncRNA from 1 species